GGCUCAGAACGAACGCUGGCGGCGUGCCCAACACAUGCAAGUCGAACGGGAUUAGGGGCUUGCUCCUAAUCUAGUGGCGCACGGGUGAGUAACGCGUAGAUAAUCUGCCUGAUGAUCUGGGAUAACACUUCGAAAGGGGUGCUAAUACCGGAUAAGCCCACGGGGUCUUUGGACUCUGCGGGAAAAGGGGGGGACCUUCGGGCCUUCUGUCAUCAGAUGAGUCUGCGUACCAUUAGCUAGUUGGUAGGGUAAUGGCCUACCAAGGCUACGAUGGUUAGCUGGUUUGAGAGAAUGAUCAGCCACACUGGAACUGAGACACGGUCCAGACUCCUACGGGAGGCAGCAGUGGGGAAUUUUGCGCAAUGGGCGAAAGCCUGACGCAGCAACGCCGCGUGAGUGAUGAAGGCUUUCGGGUCGUAAAGCUCUGUCGAGGGGAAAGAAGUGUAUUGUGGCUAAUAUCCACGAUACUUGACGGUACCCCUAAAGGAAGCACCGGCUAACUCCGUGCCAGCAGCCGCGGUAAUACGGGGGGUGCAAGCGUUGUUCGGAAUUAUUGGGCGUAAAGAGCGUGUAGGCGGUUUGUUAAGUCUGAUGUGAAAGCCCUGGGCUCAACCCAGGAAGUGCAUUGGAAACUGGCAGACUUGAAUACGGGAGAGGGCAGUGGAAUUCCUAGUGUAGGAGUGAAAUCCGUAGAUAUUAGGAGGAACACCGGUGGCGAAGGCGGCUGCCUGGACCGAUAUUGACGCUGAGACGCGAAAGCGUGGGUAGCAAACAGGAUUAGAUACCCUGGUAGUCCACGCCGUAAACGAUGAGAACUAGGUGUUGCGGGUAUUGACCCCUGCAGUGCCGCAGCUAACGCAUUAAGUUCUCCGCCUGGGAAGUACGGGUCGCAGACUAAAACUCAAAG
rnacentral:rRNA from 1 species